GGGGAUUUAGCUCAGUGGUAGAGCGCUUGCCCAGGAAGCGCAAGUCCCUGGGUUCGGUCCCCAGCUCCCCA
rfam:Rattus norvegicus chromosome 5, whole genome shotgun sequence.